CGGUGAAGCUCCAGCUUGCUGGAGUGGAUCAGUGGCGAACGGGUGAGUAACACGUGAGCAACCUGCCCCGGACUCUGGGAUAAGCGCUGGAAACGGCGUCUAAUACCGGAUACGCACCAGAAUCGCAUGGUUACUGGUGGGAAAGAUUUUUUGGUUCGGGAUGGGCUCGCGGCCUAUCAGCUUGUUGGUGAGGUAACGGCUCACCAAGGCGUCGACGGGUAGCCGGCCUGAGAGGGUGACCGGCCACACUGGGACUGAGACACGGCCCAGACUCCUACGGGAGGCAGCAGUGGGGAAUAUUGCACAAUGGGCGGAAGCCUGAUGCAGCAACGCCGCGUGAGGGAUGACGGCCUUCGGGUUGUAAACCUCUUUUAGCAGGGAAGAAGCGAAAGUGACGGUACCUGCAGAAAAAGCGCCGGCUAACUACGUGCCAGCAGCCGCGGUAAUACGUAGGGCGCAAGCGUUAUCCGGAAUUAUUGGGCGUAAAGAGCUCGUAGGCGGUCUGUCGCGUCUGCUGUGAAAACCCGAGGCUCAACCUCGGGCCUGCAGUGGGUACGGGCAGACUAGAGUGCGGUAGGGGAGAUUGGAAUUCCUGGUGUAGCGGUGGAAUGCGCAGAUAUCAGGAGGAACACCGAUGGCGAAGGCAGAUCUCUGGGCCGUAACUGACGCUGAGGAGCGAAAGGGUGGGGAGCAAACAGGCUUAGAUACCCUGGUAGUCCACCCCGUAAACGUUGGGAACUAGUUGUGGGGGCCUUUCCACGGUCUCCGUGACGCAGCUAACGCAUUAAGUUCCCCGCCUGGGGAGUAC
rnacentral:rRNA from 1 species